UACAGAGGUCUCAAGCGUUGUUCGGAUUCAUUGGGCGUAAAGGGUGCGUAGGCGGCGCGGUAAGUCGGAUGUGAAAUCUCGGAGCUUAACCUCGAAACUGCAUUCGAUACUGCCGUGCUUGAGCCACUCAGGGGCUACCGGAACAAGCGGUGGAGCGGUGAAAUGCGUAGAUAUCGCUUGGAACGCCAAUGGUGAAAACAGGUAGCUGGGGGUGUGCUGACACUGAGACACGAAAGCCAGGGGAGCAAACGGG
rnacentral:rRNA from 1 species